rnacentral:misc_RNA from 1 species
UCUUAACCUCUUUUGCAAGUCUCUUUAUUGUUCAUCCUUUCGAAUUCUAUUCUCUGCUCUCUAGUUCCACCAUUUGCUGCUGCUGCUUGGAGCUCUCGAUUCUCCAAUAUACUCCCCAAACUUCAACAUAGGUCUCACUAAUUUCCUACAUGCACCUUCAAGAAAUCAACAGUGAAGAUGGAGGAGGCUUGUCUCAGGCUGCAAUAGUGAACUGCAAUUAAACUGAACUGUUGCAGGAACAAUUAAGAUAGCCCAACCUUUUGGAAUAGUGUACCCUUCAACUUCAAUGUUUUGUAAUGAACUCUUUAGCAAUCCCCGGAACAAUUUAAGGCCUGUUCGUAAGCCCCAAUUUCCCUAUAAGCUAAGUAAUUUGUUUUUAGAGCUUUUUCUGCAUAUUAAUGCCCUGGGUGAUUUUUUUUAAUAUUAACCAACUGCUUGAAAUGUAAAUCACUUACACUUAGCAUUGUAAGUCUCAAAUCACUUCAAUAUCAUAAAUAAUACCUUUUUAGUUAUUGUUUUAAAGAGCAACUUUAAUCCUUAUGAAUGAUGAGUCUGUCACUGAUUAUCCAAGUUAAGAAUUGUGCGGCAACUUUAAUCCUUGCAAAUGAUGAGUCUGUUCAUUGAUAUCCAACUUCUAGGUUUGUCUGGCAAGUUAAGAAUUUGAAUAGCAGAGAUUAUUUUGAGCUCUAAUUUUAUGGUAGGCCAUUUGUCAACAGUGUGUGGCUAACGUUUUUGCAAUGUCUUUUUUUCUCACUCUUUUCUGUGUAGCACUAGGACCUGGAAAAUAGUUCUAGUCAGUUGGAACACUUGGAAUUUCUGAAUAUUUUGUUUAUUCGUUGGAGAAUGAAAUCUCAAUGGUAUAAGUCUUGAGUUCACCGCUAUCCAUCUGCUGAGUAGGGAGCAUGCUGAUAAAUUAUGUCCUUUCUGAUGGGAUACUUUUUUGUGCUUGCAUCAUCCCAAAUUUAGAUAUGUUGGAAUUUAUAUACCAGCUACAAUGAAACAGCUGGUUCACUCAAGGCGUCUGUUAGGGAAUUGCAAACUAUCAUGCAAUUAUGUCUUAGAGGUCUGUCUUUUUGACACCAAAAUUGAAUAGGGCUUAACUUCUUUUGUAUUUUUGUUUUGUUACAAUCACACGUUUGAUUGUUUCUUUCUCCAUUUUGAAUCCAUAACUGAAUAAACACAUUGUAUCAGUUUUUAUAAUGAGUAAUAUAUCGCUCAUGUAUUUUUAUUUUUGUGUAGGUUAUUGGGGAAAGUUGCAUUGAUCACCGGUGGAGCCUCUGGGAUAGGAGAGAGUAUUGCUCGUCUAUUCCACAAGCAUGGUGCAAAAGUUUGCAUAGCUGAUUUGCAAGACAACCUUGGGCAAGAUGUCUGUGAAUCUCUUGGGGUGACUGGACACGUGUUAUUUUCAUUGUGAUGUCACAAUAGAGGAUGAGGUUCGAAGUGCCAUUGAUUUCACAGUAGAUAAAUUUGGAACAUUGGAUAUUAUGGUCAACAAUGCAGGGUUGUCAGGUCCACCCUGCCCAGACAUUCGGAAUGUAGACCUAUCCGAUUUCAAGAAGAUGUUCAAUGUAAACGUCAAGGGCACAUUUCUUGGAAUGAAGCAUGCAGCAAGAGUAAUGAUCCCAAUAAAUAAGGGUUCAAUUAUUUCUCUCUGCAGCGUUAGCAGCACCACUGGGGGAGUGGGACCCCAUGCAUAUACAGGAUCAAAGCAUGCUUUAUUGGGACUGACCAGAAAUGUUGCAGCUGAGCUAGGAAAAUAUGGGAUACGUAUCAACUGUGUUUUCUCCUUAUGCAGUUCCAACAGGCUUGGCCUUGGCUCACUUGCCGGAAAAGGAAAGAACUGCUGAUGCCAUGGCAAGUUUUUGCGCUUUUGUUGGGCGGAAUGCUAACUUGCAAGGGGUGGAAUUGACAGCUGAUGAUGUGGCUAAUGUUGUGCUCUUUUUGGCCAGUGAUGUGUAAGGUACAUUAGUGGGUCUAAUCUAAUAGUCGAUGGGGGCUUCUCAACUGCAAAUCACUCACUCAGGGUCUUCAAAUGAUUCGUAAAGUUCAAGAAUUGUGCUACCUUUCUUUAGGUAGCAAUUCAUUUUCUCAUCUCAUCUCUCUAAUGCCUAAUUCCCUACAAUAAGAUGGCAAGUUAUGUGGUUUUCCAUUUGAGAUUUAUUUUUUUGCCCUUUUUUUUUUCUUGCAAGGAAAUGAUUAUUGCUCCUAUCACUUUCUAAACUGAAGAGCAGAGUCAGCAGAUUUCAAAUCUUUGUGUUGCAAUUGAAAAGUUGGCCUCAGCUUCAAAUCUAGAGAACUGAGCAACUAGAAUUAUCUAGGCGACAACUAAGCCAUUCUGAGAAGGUAGGAUAGAUUUCUACUCUACUGUUGUAAUAGAACCUAGUGCUCAACAAUAAGAAUGCAAUUGUUUUAAAGAAGGAGCUAAAUACUACAAAUCUCCUGGAUCAAACACAGUAAUUGUUCUCAAGUAAGAAAUUAUAUAUGGGGCCACAACCUACAUUUUUUAAGAACACGUAUUGAUACAACUGUUGUAUUCUAAAAUCUCUCCAUGUAAUGAUACAACAAACAAACAUGUACGGUGCAGAGCAACCGUGCUUUAACAUCAUGAGGGAGAGACCUGUUAUCGCAAGCUCUGUAUAACUUCAAGUAUAAUGUACGCAUGCCAACUGGCCAGGUCAGAAUUGCCACAAAAAAAUUCAUCAUUUGUCCAUCAUUCAUCUACAACUCAAUCACCAUGAGCGCUGGUAGUUUUCUUUUCACUCACAACAAAAGGCUAAAAACAUGCAAUACAAUGCAAGUUUAUUAGGGAAGAGGUUUCAGUCAUUAACCCAGUGAUAAUAUAUUUUCCUCAUAGCCAGUGACUGUAACAGCAUUUCGAGAUACAUCAAGAGAAUCAUAUUCUGGAAGCCCACGAAUUUUCACCCUUCGAAGACUGGAUCUUUCUAAAUCAUAAUAAAACACAUAAAAGGGAUUGGAUAAGAAGCAUGGUGCCAGUAGGAUCUCCCCUGUAGCAAUGGUGCCUGCAACCAAAUAGUUUUGAUUCUUUUUCCUCCAAUAAGUGGGGAAGACGAUAUGGUGCAGGAUCCAAAUCUCAUUCCAGUAGUCCUCCAGAAUCCAUAGACUUAACUGGUUCUGGGAAUCCAGUUGAAAAUUAACUAUAGCCAAACGCCCUGCUAACUGGAUCAAACAAGAUGUGUUCACGUCAUUUGGGGCGUCACUGGGGAGUUGGAUCACUCGAAAAGUUUCGUUUUGCACAUCGAAAGCAACCAUAUCUGCAAGGGUCCGGAAAUAUAUGAUCCCAUUCACGCAAAUGCUUUCCCGUCGAGGAGAGUAAGGAGGACCGUCGGGGAGAAGCCGCCAUGAUUGAGUACCCAAUGAGAAAACUCGAUAUUCAGUCUUGCCCGUUUGGUAAUUCCGCCAUGAAUUUAAAACUUUGUACUGCUUAGAAACUGGGUCGAACCCUAAUGAGUUAACGCAAUAGUAGGUAGAAGAAGCAGCCUUUGAUGUCUUUGAACAAACAAGUGGUAGAGUAAUCGCCUGCCUAGUACUGGGAUUGCAAAGGGUAGCGCAAAGGCCAAAAUCCAUACAAACUAUGCCAUUAAUUGACUGGGUAGUGUAGCGAGAGUACCGAGGAGGGACCGUCAGGCAGUGAGUAGCGGGGCCACCGUUGAGGUUGGCGGAGAAGAAGGUCUGGGCUGAUUGAAGCUGGGUAGGACAGGUGAUGAGAAGGCCCGGUUUCGGCCGGGGAUAAGGUUGAUGAGCAGCGGCGAAAGAUGGGUCGGCAACGAUGGUGGAGCAGAGCUUGUUAACGCACCGGAAUCGCACCAGGGAUUUCACGGGAAGCCUUGAAAAUAUGUCGAAGAUGAGAUCGGGACAGAUUUUGGUUAUGGGUGUGGGAUUUGAGUUUCUUACAAUUGUAUGCUUUCUUCUUUUGGCGGAUCUCUGUUGCGCGGAGCACUUGAAGGGUUUGGAUUCCAUUUCUGAAACUUAGAAUUGGGUUUGAGAAGAAGAGAUUGGAUUCAGAGGAAUUAAUGGGUUAAUUCUGUUCUUAUCUUUUCUAUGGACUUGGAAGAACCAAAUCUGAUGAAUUCAGUUCCUGAGCACCCGCCGGCGGCGUGGUAGGGAUUACAAUCAAACGAAACGAAAC